AAUAUCCAUCUCGUAUGGAUUAAAGCUUUAUGCGCUUGGGGAGGGGCCUGCGUAACAUUAGCUUGUUGGUGAGGUAAAAGCUCACCAAGGCUUCGAUGUUUAACUGGUUUGAGAGGAUGACCAGUCACACUGGGACUGAGAUACGGCCCAGACUCCUACGGGAGGCAGCAGUAAGGAAUCUUCCACAAUGGGGCAACCCUGAUGGAGCAAUACCGCGUGCAGGAUGAAGCGUUUCGGCGUGUAAACUGCUUUUAUCACCGAAGAUUAUGACUGUAGGUGAAGAAUAAGGACCGGCUAACUACGUG
rnacentral:rRNA from 1 species